CUACCCACAAACCUUUGAAUAAGAUAAAUAAAUUUUCUUAAACGAAUCAAAACCAACUUGAACCUUCAAAGUAUUGACAAAGAUCAUGUAGAAGUGAAAUAGAUAAUAACAGGUAGAUUGGAGACGAGCUCAAAAACUGGUAAUACGGCUAAUGUGAACUCAGAUGAGUACAGAAAGGGAAGGUCGAUGCUGUUUCGGGAUAUCCUUUUAAAUUAACGUGCAUCCAAAAUUGAAUUCUGACACAAAUUUUCCUUGCUUAAUUUAAUUGUCCAGGCACUAUAUGAAUUUUAAAGAAGUAUGUUCGAGGAGAGGGAGCUGCCUGGCGUCCGUUUGUCCUGAAAAAAUUACUUCGAAGUUGAGCAGAAACCGAAUCGGCGACAUUCAGCGCCCCCCGCGGAGUCGAGAACCCUUUCGUAUAAAUUAUUACGUCAGAGGAAACACAUCGAGCGUGUUCAAACGCUUACCGAUGUAGUAACUUUUCGGCAAACUACACGAAAUCACACACUGCGGUUUUCCGUUCGAGCAACUCCGAAAGGCGGAGCCUUAACGGUCUUCGAAAUGCCGGAUCGCAAUUUAAUUACGAUCCUAUAUGUUAUAAUUACGGGGAAUUUAUAAAGAUUUAGCCGUCCGUGUUUUCGGAUAUUAAGGCGUCUUCAUCCCCCGAUGUAUUAUCACGGCGUCGUCGUUCUGAUGUUUAUUACUUUAUUAAUGGCGGACGUUUUUCGCGGCGUAGCUUCCCGUUAUUUACGGCCUCUUAAUUGUUUGCAAAUAAAAAAAGAGCCUCAGACUUUCGCCGCGCGCGGUUCGAAAUUAAUAAGACGGCCCCGCCGCCGCCGCCGCGACGAGGAGCGUCGGUCGCGUCUAAUUUAAAUAAAUUGAAACGUGUUCCGGGGAGAGGUUUAGUUUUCUACGAGACGUCUGCGAUUUUUCAUUUGCGCAAGUAUGAAGCAAACCCGUCCUGGAGAUCCGUGUCGGAAAGAUCUUUUACCCGUUCCGUUGCAGUUGAAUAUUAAAAACUCAUAUUAUUUUAAUUCAUUUUCCGUUCUGCAACGAAGGAUAUUAUUUCCUUAACUUUAACUGAAAAAAAUAUACCCACUUAAGCUCGCAACCAUUAGUUUUAUCUAUCAUUUAUGGUCUGUUCAUAGAUAUAAGAAUGUGACCAAUUGCUUUUGAAUGGGAUUAUCAAAGAGUGGUCAUUAACAUACAAUGCAACACGAUUAUUACCUAAAGUUUCGGAAUUUAAAUUCAGGUAAAAUUGUGGUCCGUAAUAGAAAAUAAUUUUAUACCUACCUGUGUUUAAUAUUCUUUAGUUUGGUUUACUACUUAGUUUAAGUUUAUUAGUAAUCAUUCUUAUUUCGUGUGUUAUACAGCGUGUGUUGAAUUGUGUGCGAAUUAUGCAAAAUAUGUGCGAGACUAGUAUGUAGAAAUGUAGAAAACACUAUUCUAUCGAGACUAAGGAAGUUACAAAUAAUGUUUAUUUGAUUCUCAAUGAACGUGAUGCCAGCAAGCAAGCAUGUUUAGAAGAAACGGCCACAUUGACGAAAAUUCGAACAUCAACUGUUUGGAAAAUGGUGAAUAAUCCCAUUUCAGCGAGGAAAAAAAGAAGCGAUGCUGACAUUUUCUCGAGUGUAGAUGAAAGUGAUCAUGAUAUAAUACGGCGUAAAAUUUACCAGUUAUACGAGGAACAAAGCGUGCCUACAUUAGAUAUCUUAAUUAGGAGGCUUGAACAAGAUGAAACCGGUGCUAAAUGUGGCAGAACUACCUUAUGGAAGUGUAUUCAACACAUAGGUUUUAGAUUUAAAAAAAUAUCCAGAAAAAAAUAGGAUUUACAGAGAACAGCAAAGGCCAAUUAUUUACUUGGAUGAAACCUGGUUCGACACUUAUGAUACCCCGGAAAAGGGUUGGGUUGAAGUGUAAAACAAACGCGCCAUCAAAAAGAGGUGAAAGAAUAACUAUUUUGUAUGCUGGCUCUAAAGAUGGUUGGAUUUCAAAUGGACUUUCUCUGUCUGCGAAAAAUAUUAAAGAUUCUUCUCUGGAUUACCAUAAAGACACCACCGCUGAUUUAUUUGAAAGUUGGUUUAAAAACAAACUAGUUCUAAACAUUCCUCCUAAUAGCGUAACUGUAAUGGACAAUGCAAGUUAUCACAGUAGACAGUUGACUAAAACCCCUUCCUCAUGUGACACAAAAGCAACAAUCCAAAACCACAUGUAUAAUAACGAUAUUUAUUUUCACGAAGAUUAUACCAAAAAGCAAUUAAUUGAGGUUCUACAAAGCUUGAACUUACAAAAGGAAUACGUCUGUGAUAAUUAUGCGAAAACUCUAGGUCAUACAGUUUUAAGGCUUCCACCUUACCACUGUAUAUUUAAUCCUAUUGAACAUGUUUGGCACCAACUGAAAUCUGCCAUUCGUCGUAACAAUGUUUUUCAAGGUGUUAACUCCAACAUCCCUCCACAAAGUUGGGCAAAUUCUACUAAACAUAUAGAAAAGGCAGAACAAUAAUAUAUCCAUAUUGCAAAUAAUAUAGAACAAUUAAUAAUUUAGAACAGGCGAUGAUAGCGAUAGUGAUACUGAUAUAUUAUGUGAAUAAUUUUAAGUAAUUGAAGUAGGUAAUAAAAAUAAUUUGUAAUUUUAUUUUAGAUUUAAAUAUAAAUACAUACAUAAAUAAAUAAAUAUUGUUUAGUAUCUUUCCUAACAAAACCCCAAAUAAUUAAAUUCUAAGCAAAGUACGGACCUGUUCGGCCAUAUUUCAUUCUUACAGCUUGCUCGGGUCUUUCCUUAAUUCGUAUCAGUUAGUCACUUUCGUAUAUCUAUGAACAGACUUUACCGAGUAAAAUGCGAGAGAGUUUCAGUUAAGCUUUGAAGAAGCCAACAUGAUGAUUGGCGAAACGUCAGCAAGUUUGAUUUAGCAAAAACCGACGCAGGAGUAAUCCAGAAGCUUUGUGAAAAUUAUGUGGAAGUUUCUUUGAAAAAUUGACCGCUCAA